AAUGAAGAGCCUGUGGAAAGGACUACUUUGAUAGGGUAAAAAACGUAAAAAUAUUACCUUCAUU
rnacentral:tRNA from 1 species